rnacentral:misc_RNA from 1 species
GAUGAAGAACGCAGCGAAACGCGAUAAGUAAUGUGAAUUGCAGAAUCCAGUGAAUCAUCGAAUCUUUGAACGCACAUUGCGCCCGCCAGCAUUCUGGCGGGCAUGCCUGUUCGAGCGUCAUUUCAACCCUCGACCUCCCCUUGGGGGGGUCGGCGUUGGGGACCGGCAGCACACCGCCGGCCCUGAAAUGGAGUGGCGGCCCGUCCGCGGCGACCUCUGCGCAGUAAUACAGCUCGCACCGGGACCCCGACGCGGCCACGCCGUAAAACACCCAACUUCUGAACGUUGACCUCGAAUCAGGUAGGACUACCCGCUGAACUUAAGCAUAUCAAUAAGCGGAGGA